rnacentral:tRNA from 1 species
GCGCCCGUAGCUCAACUGGAUAGAGCACCGGACUUCUAAUCCGGCGGUUGCAGGUUCGACUCCUGCCGGGCGUGCCA